CAGUGAAAUUCCAGCAGUAACAUACUGUUAUUCCAAAAUACAGUAGGAUAUUGUCAAUUUGAUGUCUUCUUCUGUUGUCACAAUCAAGACUGACGACUGGCAGUAAACUACCAUAAAAUAAUUGUACAAUACAGUUUUUUUCCCAAGGCAAGACAUUUUACUUGUAUUUGCAUCUUAGAGAACCAGCAUUUAAAGACAAUAUUAAAUGGAAAGAAAAAAAUACUUUCCAUAAUAAUUCUUUCAGGGAAUGAAUCGAAAUCUAUAGAGCAUAAUCAAAAGUGUUAGAUUACCAGUGUUGGUGUUGUAUGUUAAAAAUACAAUGUUAAUUAAACACUUGUUUAGUCAAAUUCAAAGAUGGGUUUGUCAGUUUCUCUAAAGAGAUGGUGUUUGAUAAAGAGUUGCUCCCACAAUCGCAACGUAUCUGUGACGUCACGUGUUUGAUGGGAGACAGCAGUGUGGCGUCUUGUCUGGAUCUUAUCAUAAUGAGGUAAGUUCCCCAAAGCUAUUAAAACAUGCUCUUUUUGUUCUUUCUUUAAUGUAUUUAUGUAAUGUAAUGGUGAUGCGUUGUCUCAAUGUUUGUAACUCCCUGGCGGACAUUAUACUACAAUGUAUGCUGCGUUUAUACUGUUAUGUAUUCUGUAUCUCAAUAAAGAUCUAUUAAAAAAAACAAAACAAGAUAAGUUCCAUGUUAAGAUCAUCAUGUUUUUGAUUUUGAUUAUUUUUUUAUGAUUUAUAACUUUCUGUUUGCGCAAGAGUAUCAACUUAUGCUUGACAUAAGUUUAUUUGUUUGAAUAUCGCGGUACGACUGUUCAGUACAGGGGAGCUCAAGUCCAGUCCUUGAGAGCUGCUAUCCUGCAACUUUCAGAUGCUUCCCUGCUCCAAUUAACACACCUGAAUUAAAUGAAUGGCUGGUUAGCAGGUCUGUUCAGAGCUGAUCCUGGUCUGUUGGAGGAAAGAUGCAUCGAAAAGUUGCAUGGCCUCUCGAGGACUUGACGUGAGCACCCUUGGUUUAUUAUUUUUGUUAGCAGCUAAAGCUAGCCAAGCAGGUGUAGCACGGGGUGUCGGUGGUUAAACUGACAUAACUGACACAAUGACAUAUUGACUGCCUCUUUUUUUUUCUUUAGUACGUCAUGUUGGUGACUGAAGCCUGUUAUGAUGACUUCAACACAUUUCUGCUGACAGGUUGGCAGAAGAAAUGCUGUCCAGAAUGUUUCUAUACGCUGACUAAUUUCUAUAAUGCCUAAUGUCUGAGUUGUGUUCAUGGUAAUUAUUUCUGACAUUUUUAUGCUUUAUGUUGUAGGUGGUGAAAAAUGCUCUCCAGGGUAAACCGGGUGGACAAAGCUGGGAAAACCAGGCAUUCUUCCGUUGGUUCAUGUGCUUCGUCCUACAUCUAAAGGCCACAAGAAGAAUUAAAAACAGCUCAUGUCAAACUGUGGACCAUGUUUUCAGAUAUGUGCAGAUAUGUGAUUAUUCUAAUGAUCCUACUUCUUUGUAGAAGCACUUUCUCAUUGGCUUUGUUUGCCAUCUGAAUAUAGCUGUGCUGUUAAAUAUAUUUAUUAAUAAUUUUUAUUAUUCGUCUUAUCAUUAUGUCAAAGAUGCAAGCCAGUGUUGAAGCCUUCCUCAUUGGUGUGGAACCAGGAUAGCCCUUCCUUCUGCAUGUUGGUGAAAACAAGAGCAACACCAAAGACACUUCACCUUCAGUGAUCACAAGAUCAUCCAAGGACUUGGUUUAUUACAGUCCCUGUGGCAAGCAGUUUUCUGCAUGGUCAGCAUUGAAGGCCAUAUUGUCUUUGAGAGGGUCCAGCCAACAUUCCAGACAGGACAGUGUUGUCCAUCUUCUACAUCUUCAACCUCCAAUAUCAACAUGAGGCAGCCAAGACUUUGGUUCAUUCAACGUCGCUUCAUUGGGAUUAACCCAGAAAGGGGCACAAAACCCGGUCAUGGGAAGAUGGUAUCCAAAAAGACAGGAAAGAUCAUGCAAAAGAAAAAGCAGACCGUGAAUGUGCAGGUUUCCACCCUCAUCA